rnacentral:hammerhead_ribozyme from 1 species
AUCCAGCUGACGAGUCCCAAAUAGAACGGAACAGCGGGUUCUGGAU